rnacentral:misc_RNA from 1 species
UGUCUCGCUUUUUGAUGCUCAGAGUGCAGGGAGAGGUAUUUGAGGUGAGACAGACGUGGAAGGGCCUUCCUCAAGGUUCAGUUUUAAGCCCUCUACUGUACAACCUGUACACAGCAGACAUCGGCUCCUGCCUCAAUUCUGACUGUCAACUUCUACAAUACGCCGACGAUCUAGUGUUGUAUGUAAUCAAUCCUUCAAUUGCGGACGCUGCCUCAUCUCUCUGUCUCUCCCUGGACUCUCUGCACACAUGGCUUUUGGACCAUGGCCUCCAAUUAUCUGCCCCAAAAAGCUCGGUAGUGAUUUUCUCCCGAAAACUGCUGAUCCCUCAGGUUUCCGUUAACAUCCAAGGACAAGGCAUCCCCAUAGCGAAAAAAGCUAAAUUUUUAGGCGUUUACUUAGACUCCAAACUAUCCGGCAUUCAUCACAUAAAUUAUUUAAUUAAGAGAUGCGAAAGAGCAAUUUCCAUUCUAAAAGCUCUCGCAGGUGUCUGGUGGGGGGCCCAUCCCUUCACCAUGAAAUUAGUCUAUAAUGCUUUAGUCCGCAGUAUCCUGGACUAUGGGUCACACCUGGUGAUUCCAGGUAACAAAGGUGCCUUGGCCGGUUUAGAUAGGAUCCAGUCUCAAUGCCUUCGAAUCAUCUCAGGUUGCAUGAAGUCGUCGCCUAUUAACGCCUUACAGGUCGAAUGCGCUGAACCCCCCCUAGCCCUAAGACGGCAGUAUCUCGCUUCCCGAUUCCUAUCCAGGGUUAUUCCCAAGUCAUCCCACCCUCUCAUCCCAAAACUCAGAGAACUUGACACCCUAUGUCACAGUUCAAAAUAUUGGGAACAUAAAGAACUCCCCCUUUUCCUAAAAGCAUUCCGAUUUUUCCAAAAUUUAGAAUCCCCUAUUACAUCACAUCCCAGACUUCCCUUAUUUAAUUACUCAUAUGAAGUUCUUUGCUUUACUCCUAAAAUAUUUUAUAACAUUGGGAUAUCUAAAAACUCCCCAUCGGCAAAUUCGGCCUUUAAUGCGGUUUUGGGUGAACGAUGGACUGGGUUUCAAAGGUUCUUCACGGAUGCUUCCAAAUUUAAUAGUGGUUAUACUGGGGCCGCGGUUUAUUAUCAGAACUCGAAAAUCAUUCUUAAAUUUAGAUGUCCAAAGGAGUCUUCUAUAUUUACAGGCGAGUGCGUGGCAUUAUUGGAAGCUUGUCGCUUUAUAGAGUCCCAUGAGAUCAACUUUGGAGUUAUCUUUACUGAUUCCCUUAGUUGUCUCCAAGCCCUAUCCCAGAAUUCCUUUCGAACUAAACUCCAUUGUCCUAUUGUCCUGGAAAUUAAAAAUUCCCUUUACUCCUGCGCUAGGCAAGAAAAAGUAGUCCACCUAGUUUGGAUUCCCAGUCACUGCGGUAUAAAGGGAAAUGAAUGUGCCGACGCCUUGGCCAAAGACGCAUACACAUCUGAGUCAGCUGACCUUGCACACUUCUCCCUUCAAGGGCAUGACCUACUAAACCUCCCUAAAUUGAGUCUUGACACCUCGUGGCAGGAAUGGUGGAAUAUCUCCAGCAAAAAGAAAGGCAGCUCCUAUUACGCUAUCCAACCGGUUGUAAAACCAAAACCGUGGUUCUCCCGUUUUAAAAAAUACCCCAAACAGGUUAUUUCAGUCCUGUGCAGAAUACGGAUAGGUCAUUGUUGCACUCCGGUCUUUUUGCGCAAAAUUCGGGUGCAGGAUUCGUCCCUCUGCGAGUGCGGACUAGAUGAGGGUACCCUGGACCAUAUAUUUUUUAACUGCCCUAAUAACUCCUCUUUCGAUUUAUAUGGUCGUCUCCAAAAACUCAAAAUUCCUCUCCCUAUUAAUUUCCGUUCCCUCUUAUCACACUCCUGUCCAGAACUGCUCCAGUUGCUGUUAAUGUCUAUUCAUCGAAACAACAUUAAACUAUAAACUGUGGCCUAUUUUAGGCUACAGUUAGGUUGUGGUAUAUUUUAUAUGUUAUAUGUGACUAACAUUUUGUUGUUAUUUUUAUGUAUGUAAAUGUAUUUCUGUUUGUUUCAGUGUCGUCCUACUAACAAGUUAAAUGUCACUGUAUUUUUACGUAAAUUUACGUCAAACAAAAUUGAACAAAAUAAUGUGAAUAGUUUAUUGCAUAAAAGAUUGAAUAAUGAAACAGUGAAAAAAUUAAUACUAACACAGAAUGGAGA